rnacentral:snRNA from 1 species
CAAUGUGAGGGUGGCAUGGCUAUGUACUUCUGUGACCCCAUUGAUUGCCAAGGUUGAUUCUUCACCUGAACUGGCUGAUUAGGCAGGUGACUCCUUCCUCUCUCAGCGGUCCAUUUGCAUCACUGGAGCUGUGCACUAGGUUGAAGAGAUGGACGAUUCUUCGGUCAAGAGUUCAUGAGUAGCUAUGCUUCCCUGCUAGAACCUCCAAACAAGCUCUAAAUUUCCAAAAAUGUUAGGGACCUACGAAUUUCAGUACUUAGCAUAGGUAUGUGACUUUGGCUUCUAAGU